UUUCUUGUACAAAUUGUAUUGCCUAGUCUCGUACCAGAGAUGCCAUGUGAAUCAUUUAGCAAAUAGAAUGCAGCCGCAGUAUAAAGGAUCUUUUAAAAACAUAGGUGUUCAAUCAAUGUACUGGAAACGAGAGCGUAUG
rnacentral:lncRNA from 1 species